rnacentral:rRNA from 1 species
UACGUAGGGGGCUAGCGUUGUCCGGAUUUAUUGGGCGUAAAGAGCGUGUAGGCGGCCAUGUAGGUCCGGUGUGAAAACUCGAGGCUUAACCUCGAGAUGUCAUCGGAAACCAUUUGGCUAGAGUCCGGAAGAGGAGAGUGGAAUUCCUGGUGUAGCGGUGAAAUGCGCAGAUAUCAGGAAGAACACCAAUGGCGAAAGCAGCUCUCUGGGACGGUACUGGACGCUGAGACGCGAAAGCGUGGGGAGCAAACAGG